rnacentral:rRNA from 1 species
GACGAACGCUGGCGGCGUGCUUAACACAUGCAAGUCGAACGGAAAGGCCCUGCUUUUGUGGGGUGCUCGAGUGGCGAACGGGUGAGUAACACGUGAGUAACCUGCCCUUGACUUUGGGAUAACCUCAGGAAACUGGGGCUAAUACCGGAUACGAGCUCCUGCUGCAUGGUGGGGGUUGGAAAGUUUCGGCGGUUGGGGAUGGACUCGCGGCUUAUCAGCUUGUUGGUGGGGUAGUGGCUUACCAAGGCUUCGACGGGUAGCCGGCCUGAGAGGGGGACCGGCCACACUGGGACUGAGAGACGGCCCAGACUCCUACGGGAGGCAGAAGUGGGGAAUAUUGCACAAUGGGCGGAAGCCUGAUGCAGCGACGCCGCGUGCGGGAUGACGGCCUUCGGGUUGUAAACCGCUUUCGGCUGGGACGAAGCGUGAGUGACGGUAACGGGAGAAGAAGCACCGGCUAACUACGUG